CUUGAACGCUGGCGGCAGGCCUAACACAUGCAAGUCGAGCGAGCGGCGGACGGGUGAGUAAUGUCUGGGAAUAUGCCCGAUAGCGGGGGAUACCUACUGGACACGGUGGCUAAUACAGCAUACUAUCUGAUGAACCCAUAUGGGAUUAGCUAGUCGGUGGGGUAAAGGCUCCCCUAGGCCACGAUCUCUAGCUGGUCUGAGAGGAUGAUCAGCCACACUGGGACUGAGACACGGCCCAGACUCCUACGGGAGGCAGCAGUGGGGAAUAUUGCAAAAUGGGCGCAAGCCUGAUGCAGCCAUGCCGCGUGUAUGAAGAAGGCCUUAGGGUUGUAAAGUACUUUCAGCGGGGAGGCGUUACCCGCAGAAGAAGCACCGGCUAACUCCGUGCCAGCAGCCGCGGUAAUUC
rnacentral:rRNA from 1 species